rnacentral:RNase_P_RNA from 1 species
ACAGCAAGCCGGCCUGUCGCCUGUCUCCGGGCAGGAGGAAAGUCCGGACAACACAGAGCUCCGAGCUUCUUAACGGGAAGAUGGUCGUAAGGUCAUGCAGGUGUAACAGAAAAUAACCGCCUCAGGGUAAGGGUGAAAAGGUGGGGUAAGAGCCUACCGGUUUCGAUGGCAACAUUGGAAGCCGUACACCCCUCGGGUUGCAAGACCAUGUAUAUCGCGGUACCUUCGGUACGGGGUUGCUCGCUCCGGUUCCCUUUGUGGAUGCCGCGAAGGGUAGGUUGCUAAAGACUGCAGGUGACUGCUGUCUUAGAUCAAUGACAGGAUCCCUUCGGGGAUACAGAAUCCGGCUUACAGGCUUGCUGUUUUU